rnacentral:misc_RNA from 1 species
GAUGAAGAACGCAGCGAAAUGCGAUAAGUAAUGUGAAUUGCAGAAUUCAGUGAAUCAUCGAAUCUUUGAACGCACAUUGCGCCCCUUGGUAUUCCGAGGGGCAUGCCUGUUCGAGCGUCAUUAUAACCCUCAAGCUCAGCUUGGUGUUGGGGCCUGCUGCACUGGCAGCCCUUAAAAUCAGUGGCGGCGCCAUCUGGCUCUAAGCGUAGUAAUUCUUCUCGCUAUGGAGUCCUGGUGGAUGCUUGCCAUCAACCCCCAAUUUUUCUAUGGUUGACCUCGGAUCAGGUAGGGAUACCCGCUGAACUUAAGCAUAUCAAUAA